rnacentral:lncRNA from 1 species
AUACAGCCAACGUUAGCCGAUUAAUUAUCGUGCGGUCACUGUUUUCCGUGCUCGUGUGCUUCCUCGGUGCACCGCCAAGCAAUGUUUGCUCUUGGGCAAGCUCCAUCGUAUGCGCCGCGAAAUGACGGAACGUUUUCUGGUUUAAUGAAGGCUCUGUACAACGACCCGUUCAAGUGGCAAGUGAUCAAGAGCUGGUCCAUGUUCUGUUUCGGCGUCUACCUCGCCAGGGAGUUUGCAGGUGUCGACCUCAUGGCCCCACCGCCGGCAGUAUAACGUCGUCCACGUGUAGAGUGGAUGUCGGCUGUAUCCAAACUGGCACAAACAACUGCGCAGUUUUCACGACUAUGGCUGUCGACGCGAGCUUGUCGUCAUUUGUAGGAAGCCCUUGGAGCCGGCUGAAGUCAUCCGCGAAUUAUUUUACGAACGCGUGCAAUGGAUCGCUGAGCGGGACCACGAUGCCCAUUGACGCUCUUUCAUUUAUUGCACAUCCGAAAUAAAAAAAAAACAAUACUGCUUUUUUCUGCA